CAGGUCUCAUCAGUAAAUAUAUACUACCUGUUGGCAAAUGAUACUGUUGAUGACAUCAUAUGGGAUGUGGUGCAAUUCAAACUGGAUAAUUUGGGGCAGAUGUUAGAUGGCCAUGAGAACACCUUAGCUGUGUCAAAUAAUCAGCCAUUGAGUAGCCCUGCAAAGCAUACUACUAUUGAGCAUAGCCCUUCAAAGCAGAGAACUCUUGACCAGUUUGUCAGAAGAUGUGAUAACGUGGAUAGGU